AUUUAAUGGCGGAAAGAUCAUCAACAGGGAGUUGAGAAACAUCAAUGGAGGGCAAAAAGGUGUCACAUAAAGCAGUAAGGACUUCCAUUUGACCAGCUGAAAAGGAGCUCGAUCCAGUUUUUUCCCCUUCUUCAACACUUCCAAUCUUCACCAUUUUUGUCAAGUCUCAGAGAGAGAGAGAGAGAGAGAGAGAGAGAGAGAGAGAGAGAGGGUUUUGAAUGCUAUUUGAUUUAUUUUUCUUGUCACAGCCCAAACAACGGUGCAAUAUAAUGGACACAGCAAGUGUCAUGUAUUUAUGGAAAUUUACUAAUGCUAUUUGGACCGGUUAAACACUAGUCUGAAUAGUAACACACGAUAAAAUUAAAAUUUUCUCCUUACACCGAAUAUAUUAUUA
rnacentral:lncRNA from 1 species